AUACGGAGGAUCCGAGCGUUAUCCGGAUUUAUUGGGUUUAAAGGGAGCGUAGGCGGGAGAUCAAGUCAGCUGUGAAAUGUAGGCGCUCAACGUGUGCACUGCAGUUGAAACUGGUUUUCUUGAGUGCGUAAGGGGCAGGCGGAAUUCGUCGUGUAGCGGUGAAAUGCUUAGAUAUGACGAAGAACUCCGAUCGCGAAGGGAGUUUGCAGGGCCGCAACUGACGCUGAAGCUCGAAGGUGCGGGUAUCGAACAGGAUUAGAUACCCUGGUAGUCCGCACAGUAAACGAUGGAUACUCGCUGUCGGCGAUAUACGGUCGGUGGCCAAGCGAAAGCGUUAAGUAUCCCACCUGGGGAGUACGCCGGCAACGGUGAAACUCAAAUGAAUUGGCGGGG
rnacentral:rRNA from 1 species